AUGUAUACAUUUUGUAUAAAUAUAUUUUAAUAUUAUUUAAAAACGUCUAUAGGAUACCCGACAUUUACACAGCUGCUACCGGGAAUAAUUGAUUUGGAUCAUCCAACAUCAGCUGUUAUAACCAUCUCUGAUGAGGAUUCAGAGGAGCAAACAGCGGCCGGUUCUUCUUUACGCAGCCCUACGGCCAAAGCCAUUUUCGACCGGACAGGAAUACCAGAGGAAAUACGAACUCUACCUAUGAACGACUUCGGGGGCGCUGAAACCGGCGAUAUUCUACCGUUCUGUACGGCUGGCGCUGGUGUUUCUUUACGUAGCCCUACGUCAUCAAGCUAUUUUGCGGAAUAAUCUUUUAUACAUUAAGCAUUAAACAAAAAGUGUGUACACUAUUUAAAAAAAGCUAAUCUUGUGUUUACAGCGGACAGAACCUCAACAAGGAUACAUGAUGCAUUAUGGACUCUACCUAUGAACGACUUUGAGGGCAAUGAAACAGACGAUAUUCUACCGUUCUGUACGGCCGGCUUUACCAAAACUCCAAACACCACAAGAAGCGCAGCUUUAACACACAGCUACACACCCCCUGGAACCUCCACCCAAGUGCUAUAUAAUCUAGCACCUACGGUGCAUCACAAUACUUUGGCAGAAGUGCACCGCACAGAAUCACCCCGGCCCGAGAAGGGCGACUGGUCUGAAAACGAUUGGAUUCAAGAGCAUGCUCUCUAUGGAUACCGUAUGACCCUCGUUAUCAUUUUUUAAAUUAGUUAUAUAUUUUUUGAUAGAAUGUGUUAACAAUGUCAAAUUAUGUUUUUUUUCAGACUCCAACGAUAGCUAUACAAACCAGGCAGAACCUACAAAGCCAGAGGACAUUGGGUUAGGACCCGCGUUAUCCAGGAUUCCUCAGAAGAGCAGGCGACAAAAAACAAGAGACUCCUCCCAGGCGUAUACCGACACAGAAGGCCCAAUAUGUCGAGAGGAAGAGGCCGAGGAGGAAUUCGGCGCCCAGGACAUACAUAGUAAAACAUUGAAACCUGAUAAUUUCAACGCUGUAAAUGACAAGACUGAGGACGAAACAAUAUUCCUUGAAGAUAUUCUAAAACUGGAAGACAUCGAAUUUUCCAAUAUGUCUUUAUGUCAAUUGUAUGUAUUUAAGAUAAAAUGUAUAUAUUUUGUGUAAAUAUAUUUUAAUAUUAUUUAAAAACGUCUAUAGGAUACCCAGCUGCUACCGGGAAUAAUUGAUUUGGGUCGUCCAACAUUAGCGGCUAUAACUAUUGAAGAUGCAAAACGGGGUUUUAAGAAAUACAUUUGUUUGAUUGACAGAUUUGUAUUAUUAUAAAAAAAUAUUUUAACAUUAUUAUUAUCAUAAUCUUUAUUAUUAUUAUGUUACAGGCGAGACAUACCCAGAAAUGUCAACUUCUUGUCAAGUGCUCAAAUCUGUAUAGCAGCCACAUAUAAUCACGCACAGUAGCGCCAACUUACAAGAAUGUGUUUACCAGGCAGUGAUAAAAACAUUUUAAAUGAGCUCUAAUUCAAACAUACAAUGAUAUAUAUUUGAUACAAUUACCCAUUCAAAACUGUUGUUACAAUAUCACUUCUCAUUGUGUACAUUUCAAGGUUUCACAAACAUAAAACAAGUAUCUAAUUAAUGUUUCUCGGACUAACACACUGUUGAGUUUCCUAUUUAUUAAAGAACAAUCAUUAAGACAAAACACAUUAAGUUGUAACAAUCUGUAUACAGGGCAUUCUAUACUGAAAACAGGUACAUUCUGAAAGAUUUUGAUGUUGCUGUGAUAACACAUUUUCUAUUCAUCUCUCAAUUUAGGAUAAUACUA